UACGGGGGGGAGCAAGCGUUGUUCGGAUUUACUGGGCGUAAAGGGCGCGUAGGCGGCGUGACAAGUCACUUGUGAAAUCUCCGGGCUUAACCCGGAGCGGCCAAGUGAUACUGUCGGUGCUAGAGUGCGGAAGGGGCUACUGGAAUUCUCGGUGUAGCGGAUGAAUGCGUAGAAUAUCGAGAGGAACACCUGCGGCGAAGGCGGGUGCUGGGCUGACACUGACGCUGAAGCGCGAAGACUAGGGGAGCGAAACGGG
rnacentral:rRNA from 1 species